UACAGAGGGUGCGAGCGUUGUCCGGAAUCACUGGGCGUAAAGGGCGCGUAGGUGGUGGCUUAAGCGUGCGGUGAAAGCUCGGGGCUCAACUCCGAGUCGGCCGUGCGAACUGGGCUCACUGGAGCAUAGUAGAGGCAGGUGGAAUUCCGGGUGUAGCGGUGGAAUGCGUAGAGAUCCGGAAGAACACCGGUGGCGAAGGCGGUUCUCUGGGCAUUACCUGGACGCUGAGGAGCCGAAAGUGUGGGGAGCGAACAGG
rnacentral:rRNA from 1 species